rnacentral:rRNA from 1 species
ACGCGAAAGCUCCCUUCGGGGAGCAAGUAGAGUGGCGCACGGGUGAGUAACACGUAGGUAAUCUACCUUUGGAUGGGGAAUAACAACCGGAAACGGUUGCUAAUACCGCAUAAUGCAGCGGCACCUAAUGGUGACAGUUGUUAAAGCGGGGGAUCGUAAGACCUCGCGUCUGAAGAGGAGCCUGCGGCGGAUUAGCUAGUUGGUAAGGUAACGGCUUACCAAGGCGAUGAUCCGUAGCCGGCCUGAGAGGGCGGUCGGCCACACUGACACUGACAUACGGGUCAGACUCCUACGGGAGGCAGCAGACGGGAAUUUUGGGCAAUGGGCGAAAGCCUGACCCAGCAACGCCGCGUGAAGGAUGAAAUCCCUCGGGAUGUAAACUUCGCAAGAACGGGAAGAAUAAGCCGGUGACAAUACCACCGGCGAUGACGGUACUGUUUGUAAGCUCCGGCUAACUCCGUGCCAGCAGCCGCGGUAAUACGGGGGGAGCAAGCGUUG